rnacentral:rRNA from 1 species
UACGGAGGGUGCAAGCGUUAAUCGGAAUUACUGGGCGUAAAGCGUGCGCAGGCGGUUUGUUAAGUCCGUUGUGAAAGCCCCGAGCUCAACCUUGGGAAUUGCAGUGGAUACUGGCAGGCUGGAGUACGGUAGAGGAAGGUGGAAUUCCCGGUGUAGCAGUGAAAUGCGUAGAUAUCGGGAGGAACACCAGUGGCGAAGGCGGCCUUCUGGACCAGUACUGACGCUCAUGCACGAAAGCGUGGGGAGCAAACAGG